AGGGUCACACCUGCGUCUCACGACCUCCGAUUAGACCCAGUACAUAUAGGACCCGGGGGACGACAGAGACUCUGCUAGAUCGUUGCCUCUCAUGCCUCGUUCCCGCACUACCAUACUCCUGACGUCUACCUCCCGUGUACCGACCAACGCCUGUCUCCCGACCUACCCCGUAAGCCUGCCGUUACUGAUCUUGCUGCUUGUUUGGACUGACUCCCUGGUAACCGACAUUGGAACGAAUAAAGGCUUAUUCCGCACUGCUUACCUCUCACCUGAGUCGUGCAUUUGGGUCCACCCCCGAGUCUCGUCCGUGACAACUAGCUUUCAGGUCAUCCAUGGUAUCAACACUUAGAGCGAAGACAAAAUAGUUCACAAUGUUGGGGGACUCCACUUCGCGUCACUUCACGUGACUAAGAAAGCGUAACUGGAUUGACUGGACGCUGUGUUGCGUUAUCUCCAAUGACCGCCACAGAGAUGUCACAUGACUAAGAAAGUGUAACAGGAUUGGCUGGCUGCUGGGUGUUGGGUUCUGAAAUCCUUUGCUAAUGUCUGUGACUUGUCUUCUUAACAACAAAGUUGAAUUUUAACAACGAAGUUGAAUUUCAAAUUGAAAUCCACUCACCAUUUCAAAUUCAAAUCCUAUUCAAAUUCAAAUCCCGGUGGCGUUCGUUUACUUCCAUAGCCUUUGUUUUAUCUGCAUGAGGUGAAGAUCAGCAGCACACCAAUAUUCUCUCUUUGGUAUCAACCUCAAAAUGUUUUCUGUGGGGUGUGUCACACUUGUGUGUGUAAUUUUCACUCAGAAGCCGUUUUCUCUCUGUGCUCUCUCUUCAAGAUGCAAUUUUGUGAUUGAGGCAUCCUUCAGCAUGACAUGAUGGGAUUAAUUUUCUGGUAACUGGCAUUUUAACAGUGGUGAAACAAAAUAGGAAUUGGUUGUGAGAUUUUCCAAAUUUUGAAUGGUGUUGACCAGUGUUUGUUGUGUUGGACUCAGUUUUCUCUCUUGCUCAUUGUCUCAAUAACGCAGGGGUCUCUUUUUCUUAUUGCGGCAAAUUGGUAGAUGUCCGAGGGUUACUUGCUGACUUUUGUCUCAAAGUAAAUGGGGAAAAAAAAUCUGCCAAUGGCACAAUUAUUAACUGAAAUGAACUUAAAUAUGACCCUGUAUCCUAAAACAAGUGUUUUAGUCUUCCUGAUAAAUUAGAACCAAAAAAAGUUGAAACUGACUUAAAAUAAGUACAAUAACAUGUUUUCAGAAAAGGCAGCUCUAUGGGGGGACAAACCAGUGCAAUCUGUAGGCCGGUCGCAAGCCAAGAUAAAUGCAGAGGGUUGCGUCAGAAAGGGCAUCCGACGUAAAACUGCGCCAAACAAAUAAGAGUGUUCAUCUAAAGAAUACCAUACAGGAUCGGUGGUGGCCCGAGUUAACAACGCCUGCCCCGGCACCGUUAACCUGCAGGGCAUCAGUGGAAAUUCGACUCCUGUCGGUCAAAGAGAAAGAAGAGGAGGAAAGCGGAUUCAGCAGCAGAAGAAAAGGAAUGCACAGAGGCUACAACUGAA